rnacentral:rRNA from 1 species
GACCAACAAUGCAGUCGAGCGGAACGAGUUAUCUGAACCUUCGGGGAACGAUAACGGCGUCGAGCGGCGGACGGGUGAGUAAUGCCUAGGAAAUUGCCCUGAUGUGGGGGAUAACCAUUGGAAACGAUGGCUAAUACCGCAUAAUGCCUACGGGCCAAAGAGGGGGACCUUCGGGCCUCUCGCGUCAGGAUAUGCCUAGGUGGGAUUAGCUAGUUGGUGAGGUAAUGGCUCACCAAGGCGACGAUCCCUAGCUGGUCUGAGAGGAUGAUCAGCCACACUGGAACUGAGACACGGUCCAGACUCCUACGGGAGGCAGCAGUGGGGAAUAUUGCACAAUGGGCGCAAGCCUGAUGCAGCCAUGCCGCGUGUGUGAAGAAGGCCUUCGGGUUGUAAAGCACUUUCAGUCGUGAGGAAGGUAGUGUAGUUAAUAGCUGCAUUAUUUGACGUUAGCGACAGAAGAAGCACCGGCUAACUCCGUGCCAGCAGCCGCGGUAAUACGGAGGGUGCGAGCGUUAAUCGGAAUUACUGGGCGUAAAGCGCAUGCAGGUGGUUUGUUAAGUCAGAUGUGAAAGCCCGGGGCUCAACCUCGGAAUAGCAUUUGAAACUGGCAGACUAGAGUACUGUAGAGGGGGGUAGAAUUUCAGGUGUAGCGGUGAAAUGCGUAGAGAUCUGAAGGAAUACCGGUGGCGAAGGCGGCCCCCUGGACAGAUACUGACACUCAGAUGCGAAAAGCGUGGGGAGCAAACAGGAUUAGAUACCCUGGUAGUCCACGCCGUAAACGAUGUCUACUUGGAGGUUGUGGCCCUUGAGCCGUGGCUUUCGGAGCUAACGCGUUAAGUAGACCGCCUGGGGGAGUACGGUCGCAAGAUUAAAACUCAAAUGAAUUGACGGGG